GCAUACCAAAGAGGUGGUCCGCCAACAUCCCUUCAUGCAAUGCGCAACUCUUUGGGAAAAUUAGCUUACUUGUCAGGGCACAUGUGUUUGGGAUUCUGAAGUUGUUUUGCGAGGAUUCUCCCGAAACUAAUUUCAUGAUCUGAAAAGGGUGUUUUGCAAAGCAUAUGACUGUCCAGGAGCUGCGGCUGUGUGGCCUGCUGCUACAGGAGCACUUUGGGGAGGAUAGGCACUCACCUGCUCAGAGGAGGGGCACAGAACCUCAGGACCAUCGCCAAUGAGACCAACACACCACUGGACCUGCACGGUGCUUGUGAGUUCGGGCCGGCGAGGCCCCGGGAGUCCAGUGGAGUACCGGGCCAGCUGUGAGCGGGUUCUAAGUGUUCUGCGGUACAUCUACACAGCUAAGACCCUGUAUGGAGACACAGGAGAACUCAUCGUGGAGGAGGUCCUACAACGAGGCCAUAUGAACUUGAGCAACACAGUCAAGACUGUAGCUGACCGACUCACUCAUAACAUGGAGGGUGUGUGAGAGAGCGAUUAAAAGACGUAUGAUUGUUCUAUAUUUUGAAUGACUUGUGCCUCUUUCUAUCUCCUCCCUCUCUUUCCAGUCGUGUGGUGAUGAGGGGAUCUACUGGCGGGUGAACUUUGAGAGGUUCCAUCAGCACUUCAGAGACCAGGGCAUCAUUAGUGCUGUGGCCAGCAAACUGGACCAGGUUGGACUCUACAGAGAACCAGGUGGAUGAGACUGUCUUUCUACUGGAGUCCUACAUCUUCUCUACCAAGACCAAGUGAGAGGGAGGGAGAACCAGGUGGAUGAGACUGUCUUUCUACUGGAGUCCUACAUCUUUUCUACCAAGACCAAGUGAGAGGGAGGGAGGGAGAACCAGGUGGAUGAGACUGUCUUUCUACUGGAGUCCUACAUCUUUUCUACCAAGACCAAGUGAGAGGGAGGGAGGGAGAACCAGGUGGAUGAGACUGUCUUUCUACUGGAGUCCUACAUCUUUUCUACCAAGUGAGAGGGAAGGAGAACCAGGUGGAUGAGACUGUCUUUCUACUGGAGUCCUACAUCUUUUCUACCAAGACCAAGUGAGAGGGAGGGAGAACCAGGUGGAUGAGACUGUCUUUCUACUGGAGUCCUACAUCUUUUCUACCAAGACCAAGUGAGAGGGAGGGAGGGAGAACCAGGUGGAUGAGACUGUCUUUCUACUGGAGUCCUACAUCUUUUCUACCAAGACCAAGUGAGAGGGAGGGAGAACCAGGUGGAUGAGACUGUCUUUCUACUGGAGUCCUACAUCUUUUCUACCAAGUGAGAGGGAGGGAGAACCAGGUGGAUGAGACUGUCUUUCUGCUGGAGUCCUACAUCUUCUCUACCAAGACCAAGUGAGAGGGAGGGAGAACCAGGUGGAUGAGACUGUCUUUCUACUGGAGUCCUACAUCUUUUCUACCAAGACCAAGUGAGAGGGAGGGAGAACCAGGUGGAUGAGACUGUCUUUCUACUGGAGUC